GGCCGGCCUCAACCUGCGCGCUGGCGCCGCUACUUGGGCGACGCCGUGCUGUCCUCUUCCACGUGGCCUUGCUCGCCCCCUCCGCUACGCACAUGCACGCCGCAACUGCUGGGCCCGCACAGGGCCGCUGCCGCCGGGCCCAGGGCCGCUAUCGCUGCUGCUGCUGGUGGGGCCAGUCCCUCCACCAUCACCGCCGUCGCCGCCACUAUCUUUUGGAGGUUCGCGCGGGUUUGGCGGUAUCGUAAUCGUUUGGGAAGCUUGGAGGCUUGCCCCCUCGGGAAACGUUUCCGGGCGUAGACGCCGCGGGCCUGAGGGCAUCUACAAGAUACGGGCACUGGCGCCCAGGCAGGCGAGCAGCACCCACGCAUGACGUGAUCUCGCUCGAUCUGCAAUAUUGUACUGUAUUACGUAUUGUACGCUGUUUUACAGGGACUGUCCAGGACCAAAAUGUCGCAGAUUACGUUGGGCACGGGAGGGGGGGGGACCAUAACUCAUAAGGGGUCCUGGGUCUGCGCCCAGCGUCUUGAUGUCUUUGACACAGUGCGCCGCACAGCAUGCCCAGCACCAGUUCUUAAAACUCUUUUGGGUUGCAAAGCAACCAUAUAAAUAACCGGCGUCCUUCAGGAUUUGCUUACUUCCAGCCCAUAAGUAUUCAUUAAUCCGCCAUGGACUAUGUUGCCAAGCCGAAACACACAGUUGAACCCCAUGUGCGUUUCUAACACAUCACAUGCGCCGUGUGGUCACCCCUGUUGUCCCCCUGUCCCGAGUCCCUGGUCGCGAGAGUGGGCUGUACUGUGUUGGAAAUCCCAGGACGUCGUAGUACUAGGCGUAUCAGGAGGACAGGGUCACGUACCGUAUUGUGCAAACCUGCCCCUAAGCACGGGAAAUCUUGGCAGAUGCCACGCCACGUCCCCAAGUCAAAUGCGCCCGUUGCGUUGCGCAACCUCGGUUUGCAUGAUGUGCAGCAGCCAAGGCACAUCCCUUCAACGGGAGGAGGGGACUGUAUGGGACCAGGUCCAGGUGUUUGCGUGCGUUAGGCGAGAGGGAUUGAUUGUGCGCCUGCGCAUGGCUGAACUCAUACGGAUCCCGACUAGUUGGCUUGGCCGGCUUGGCAGACUGCCCUCGUCUCACGUGCGCUCCAACAGGGGACUGCAGCUUGGACUGCAGGUGGGGGAGGGAUGCAAACUAGCCCAAGCAAUACUUUACCCCACGUGACGUUACCCUCAGGGGUGCCACCUCUGGUUACCCUGUCCUCCCACCUUCAAUGAGCGACAUGGCACCCGCAAGCAGCGCGCCUGGAAGGCUGCGGGUCCGCCGUCUCGACCAGCCAGCAACACUCUAAAGCAUGCCCAUACGCGGGUUCCGGGCAGCUCGCGCCGACGGUUGGUGACUGCAAGUGACUGCGCCCGCGCGCCCACUGCGACACCGACGCGUAACCUAUACACAUACAAACACGUUGAUGUGGCUACAGAGCUCUUUUCUGUGGCACAUGUGCAAGCGCGGCACUACUCCGCACUAGACCUCUAACGCGAUGAAAUCCGGAAAUCGCGACAGUCGCGACCAGCUGGCCCGACUUCAUGGCCACAGGUGCUAUAUACUUCUGUUACACGUUUCUGUAAACUAUUUGAUGGUUGAGCAUUCGAGUUACAGACGAUGAUGCAACGUUGAGUGCAUUCAAACCUUUCCUUGCCCUGCAACGGCAAUUUUGCUAUCUGCUAUGGCUGCCGCGCCACCUAUGUUCAUACUGGUGCUAUGCUUGGCUGCCGGUGAGGCUCAGGGUGAAGGCUGUGUUAAUACUUGGCGGGCAUGCGAAUCGCCUGAGUCGCGCAAGGCUCACCGAAGUCAAAGCUGCUAUAGAGGAGCACCAAUGCGUUUAUAAAAAGGCAUGCGUACGCUACGAACACCGUGCGGCGCUCACUUGAAACGCCUGACUCGAGGCGGGAAGGGUGGAGCGCGCCGGUCCCCCUCCGGGUUCCCUUGUCCCCUUUUCGGCUUGCACCAGUCAAACAUAUUACGUGCCUGGACUUGCCGUGUGGUCGCCUGUAUAACGUCUUUACCACUCAACCCUGUGCACAGUUGCCAAUGCUUGUAACCCUUUCACCCUGGAGACUUCAAGGUGGGUUUGCAGUGUUGCACUGGGCUUCCCGACAGUGGUUCCGCACACGGCUAACAUCUGGUUGCCCGGUCUGCAGGAUUGGUCCUGCUCACCGGCGGAGCGUGAUUGAGAAGUCGCUCAGCUCUGCAGUGCAAGCCAGCUCAUACAUAUCUCGGCGCAGCCUGGCUGCCAACCCUGCUGCCAACAAGGCGCCCCCGUCUCCACCUGCGGCUGUGUGCACAUGCCUGCCUGAGACUUCAGUGUGCGGCUGCUCACCCUAUCGGCUGUCAGGGCCCGUGGUGACGCCGCUGUCACCCAAUGUAUUUCCCUUCUUCACGGGCACUAGGUGAGGCGUUGGCGACCUGGGCCCUGCGCGCGUUGCUAUGGUAUUUGGGUGCGCAUUGUGGGUUUGGGGGCAAAGCCAGCCUUCCUGAAGCUUUAGCACUCUCUUGUGGGGACGCCUGCUCACCCACACUUCGUUCAGGUUCUGCUUCACGAUUCAGUCUGUCGGAUGUGGCAUCACUCCCCUGCCCUGCUGUAUUACGGCGGCCACCGCCCCGCUGGAGCAAGUGCUGCUCAAUGUCGGUAAGGUAUUGCUUGUCGUGGCCACACAACACGUGCGGGCAUUGGCGCGCACACCGGGCCGAGAUGGUGGCGGACCUCACGGGCGGACCCCCUUCCAGCACUAUACCAUGCUGCCUCCCUAAAACCUCGCCUGCAAUAUCGCACUCGUAGGCAAGCAGUGCACGGGCCGCUUCGUUGACUACACUGUUAACGGCCAGUCAUGGUUGGAUUCGGGUGUGGAUGGGCCCUACCCCAAGUCGUCAGUGGUGGGUCAUUCUGAUAGGUUAAGCCAUGCUGAUGCGAGGGGCAGGGAUUCGGACCAGCACCAGCGGGCUCACUUCGAAAUCUGCGUUGCCUCCAGAAGCCGUGCCGACCGUAUUGACAUGUCUAUCACAUGAUUGCCUGCCCGCCUGCUUACCUGGGCCUCGCCUCUGCCCUGUUGUGCACUGCAGGUGUACUUCAACAACCUGGGCCUUAGCCUGCUGACUGCCGCCGGCACACAGCUGUGUGUGGCCACCACUGACCAGGUGGGGCUCGGCGCUCCCUGCGAGAAGGUCAAGACUCUGUGUGACGACCCAAGGGAUGGAAACUGCAGGUAAAGGCUUGAGGCGCCGUGUGGCCGGGAUUGCGCAAGCCGCGUGCUGACCAAGGCGCAUUCCUGGCUGCAGGUACAUGUUCCGAGAGGGUGACAACGCAACUGUGUGCCCAGCCUGUGGUACGGUGCCUGAGCCCCUGCCACCUCCGUCACCACGCCCCCCAUCUCCGCAUCCCCCGGUACCCCCGUCACCUCUUCCGCCACCUUCUCCCCUGCCGCCGAGCCCCCUGCCUCCGCACCCACCCAGCCCUACCCCGCCCAGCCCUCCUCCCUCGCCUGUGCCUCCGUCUCCCACGCCCCCCAGCCCGGCGCCGCCUAGCCCGGCGCCGCCUAGCCCGGCGCCUCCCAGCCCUCCUCCCUCGCCUGUGCCUCCGUCUCCCGCGCCUCCCAGCCCGGCGCCGCCUAGCCCGGCGCCUCCCAGCCCUCCUCCCUCGCCUGUGCCUCCGUCUCCCGCACCUCCCAGCCCGGCGCCGCCUAGCCCGGCGCCUCCCAGUCCUCCUCCCUCGCCUGUGCCUCCGUCUCCCGCACCUCCCAGCCCGGCGCCGCCUAGCCCGGCGCCUCCCAGCCCGCCUCCCUCGCCUGUGCCUCCGUCUCCCGCGCCUCCCAGCCCGGCGCCGCCUAGCCCGGCGCCUCCCAGCCCUCCUCCUUCGCCGGUGCCUCCGUCUCCCGCGCCUCCCAGCCCGGCGCCGCCUAGCCCGGCGCCUCCCAGCCCUGCUCCCUCGCCUAUGCCUCCAUCUCCCGCACCUCCCAGCCCGGCGCCGCCUAGCCCUGCACCUCCCAGCCCGCCUCCCUCGCCUGUGCCUCCGUCUCCCGCACCUCCCAGCCCGGCGCCGCCUAGCCCUGCACCUCCCAGCCCACCUCCCUCGCCUGUGCCUCCAUCUCCCGCACCUCCCAGCCCUCCUCCCUCGCCUUUGCCUCCGUCUCCCGCACCUCCCAGCCCGGCGCCGCCUAGCCCGGCGCCUCCUUACCCUCCUCCCUCGCCUGUGCCCCCUUCUCCCGCACCUCCCAGCCCGGCGCCGCCUAGCCCGGCGCCUCCCAGCCCUCCUCCCUCGCCUGUGCCUCCGUCCCCCACGCCUCCCAGCCCGGCGCCGCCUAGCCCGGCACCUCCCAGCCCUCCUCCCUCGCCUGUGCCUCCGUCUCCCGCACCUCCCAGCCCGGCGCCGCCUAGCCCGGCGCCUCCCAGCCCUCCCCCCUCGCCUGUGCCUCCGUCUCCCGCACCUCCCAGCCCGGCGCCGCCUAGCCCGGCGCCUCCCAGCCCUCCUCCUUCGCCGGUGCCUCCGUAUCCCGCACCUCCCAGCCCGGCGCCGCCGAGUCCUGAGCCACCGUCACCUGCUCCGCCUUACCCGCCUUCACCAGCUCCUCCUUACCCUGCACCGUCAUAUCCACCUUCUCCGGCGCCCUUCUAUCCUCCUUCACCUGCCCCAUCGUAUCCACCUUCUCCUGCACCCUCCUACCCUCCUUCGCCCGCCCCAUCGUAUCCACCUUCUCCGGCGCCCUCCUAUCCGCCUUCACCUGCCCCAUCGUAUCCACCUUCUCCUGCACCCUCCUACCCUCCUUCACCCGCCCCAUCGUAUCCACCUUCUCCGGCGCCCUCCUAUCCUCCUUCACCUGCCCCAUCGUAUCCACCUUCUCCUGCACCCUCCUACCCUCCUUCACCCGCCCCAUCGUAUCCACCUUCUCCGGCGCCCCUCUACCCUCCCUCUCCUGCCCCAUCGUAUCCACCUUCUCCGGCGCCCCUCUACCCUCCCUCUCCUGCUCCGCCGUUUCCCGCACCACCCAGUCCUCCUUCGCCAGGAGCGCCUCGUCCGCCCCGCCCUCCUCCUCCGCCCCCCCCUUCACCCAGGCCC
rnacentral:lncRNA from 1 species